rnacentral:rRNA from 1 species
GGGGCGGCGGGGCUUACACAUGCAAGUCGAACGAUGAAGACUGGUGCUUGCACUGGUUGGAUUAGUGGCGAACGGGUGAGUAAUACGUGAGUAACCUGCCUUUGACUCUGGGAUAAGCCUGGGAAACUGGGUCUAAUACCGGAUAUGACAAGGAACCGCAUGGUUUUUUGUGGAAAGGGUUUGUACUGGUUUUAGAUGGGCUCACGGCCUAUCAGCUUGUUGGUGAGGUAAUGGCUCACCAAGGCGACGACGGGUAGCCGGCCUGAGAGGGUGACCGGCCACACUGGGACUGAGACACGGCCCAGACUCCUACGGGAGGCAGCAGUGGGGAAUAUUGCACAAUGGGCGCAAGCCUGAUGCAGCGACGCCGCGUGAGGGAUGACGGCCUUCGGGUUGUAAACCUCUUUCAGCAGGGAAGAAGCGAAAGUGACGGUACCUGCAGAAGAAGCGCCGGCUAACUACGUGCCAGCAGCCGCGGUAAUACGUAGGGCGCGAGCGUUGUCCGGAAUUAUUGGGCGUAAAGAGCUUGUAGGCGGUUUGUUGCGUCUGCUGUGAAAGACCGGGGCUUAACCCCGGUAUUGCAGUGGGUACGGGCAGACUAGAGUGCAGUAGGGGAGACUGGAAUUCCUGGUGUAGCGGUGAAAUGCGCAGAUAUCAGGAGGAACACCGAUGGCGAAGGCAGGUCUCUGGGCUGUAACUGACGCUGAGAAGCGAAAGCAUGGGGAGCGAACAGGAUUAGAUACCCUGGUAGUCCAUGCCGUAAACGUUGGGCACUAGGUGUGGGGGACAUUCCACGUUUUCCGCGCCGUAGCUAACGCAUUAAGUGCCCCGCCUGGGGAGUACGGCCGCAAGGCUAAAACUCAAAGGAAUUGACGGGGGCCCGCACAAGCGGCGGAGCAUGCGGAUUAAUUCGAUGCAACGCGAAGAACCUUACCAAGGCUUGACAUAUACUGGACCGCCUCAGAGAUGGGGUUUCCCUUCGGGGCUGGUAUACAGGUGGUGCAUGGUUGUCGUCAGCUCGUGUCGUGAGAUGUUGGGUUAAGUCCCGCAACGAGCGCAACCCUCGUUCUAUGUUGCCAGCACGUUAUGGUGGGGACUCAUAGGAGACUGCCGGGGUCAACUCGGAAGAAAGGUGGGGGAUGACGUCAAAUCAUCAUGCCCCUUAUG